CUUCCCACAGAGAGCGGUUUGAUAUGUCACUGAAACCAGCAUCCAGGUGGUAUUGCUCCAUAUGCCUGAGACCCUAACAAAAGCCUAAUUACAACUCAUAUGCCUGGAGCCAGGACAUGUGCAGGAUGGUGAUGUAACUUUCCUCUCUGGAAUGGGUCCUGCACAAAGGAAUGAUAGUAACAUAUUGCAAAGCCAGACACACAGCCAUGAUGGUCCAAGUUAUAUUGGGAUUCAGCCAAUAGAAGAUAUUUUGCCUGUCAUCCCUAAGCUUAGGACAAUAGGUUACCUGACUCUCCUCUCCUGCCUGGACCCUGCUUCCACUGGGGACUGUAGCAUUUCCAAGCUCUGCAUCCAAAUGAUAAGACUCUCUUGCCUGGUCCUUUCAACAGGAGAUAUUGUGACAUAUCUCUGGGUGAUAUGAGUCUCCUCUUCUGUCUGGAUAUUGCCCACAAGGAGCAUUUUGCCAUACAGUUGGACGUAGCCCCAAAGUUAUGUGACUUUUCUGCCAGGAACUUGCCUGCAAGGAGAAUAUUGGAAAAUUCUGGCUCAGCAUUUAGGUGACAUGGCUGUCAUACCUGUUUCAUUACUACAGAGUAAAUUGUGACACACACCUUAGCACAG
rnacentral:lncRNA from 1 species